rnacentral:misc_RNA from 1 species
CUGAGUGAGGGCCCCCGGCCCGACCUCCAACCCUUUGUGUAUCUCGACCCUGUUGCCUCGGGGGCGACCCGGCCUUCGGGCGUCGGGGCCCCCGGCGGACCACUCAACUCUGCAUCUUUGCGUCUGAGUCUUAUAUAUGAAUUAAAUCA